GUUAUGCACGAAACAAGUCAUUCACUAGGGGCUGGGUCAUUGCUGGGGUAGGAGCAUCUGUAAAUCCUGAAUUUCCUGGAGUCCGUAGCCUGCAGUGGAAGCUGUUUUCUUUCUCCCAGCCAGGAGGAAUUCAGGACCUGGUUCCAAGGGUGGGCUGGGCUCAGGAGGGCCAUUUUCCAUCCCUGCUGCUGCAAAUCCUCUGGGACACCUGAGCUGGCAUUCCCAGAGUGCUCAGACAGGAGCAUUUGCUGGCCACGGCCAGGGACAGGAUCUCCCUGGCAGGACUGGGGGCUUGGACACCCGGCACGGGGCACAAACCUUCCCCUGGCAUCGCCCAGUGAGGCUGAGCAGCCCAGGGCAGCUUGGAGUUUAAUUCUGGUUUGAGUAGGACAGGGCUGGGCUGUCCUGCCCAGGGAUGGAACCACCACAGCCCGGUGUUUUCAGGCAUUUCUCUCACGGCAGGGUUUGCACUUUAAAUAAGGUUCAAGUUGGACAAGGCUUUGUGCAUUGCUUGUAAAAGAUUUCUUUUCUUUAAUUUUUAAUCUUGAUCCUGCUCUUUGCAAAGAGCAAAUCAGCUCAAAAUGUGAUGUUUUCUACCAGCAGGUCACAGGCUGGUAUUUCUCUUCCAGCCUGCUAUCACAGCAAUAAAACCCCUCCAGUCACACUGAAUUUCAGCUGCCUCUUGUCACAGUCAGUGCAUGGCACCUCCUUGGGGCAGUCCUUAAAUUAAAAUAUCGACGAUAUUUCUGCUGUUUAAGCACUGCUGCAGAAACAUGAGUGGCCAAGGAGAGAGGAGGGUUUUUUUCUCUCUGGCUGGAAUUUUUCACUAUAACCAUCCUCAGGGGAAUUCUCAUCUUCAAAAGAAACAUUCUUUCUAUACAAGCUGCAAAAAGAAUUAUUUAAUGACAUCAUAAAUUAAUACAGAGAGGCACAAAUUUUCCAAAAUGUAGAGAGAGAGAAAAAUAAAUUCAUGUUUGCCAAAAACACCCCAGCUCUUCCAGACUUAGGCCCCUCUUGAGCCUGUGAGCUGCCAGUGAUGCCAAAUUGCAUGGCGGGGCUUUUGGCAGGACUGAAGUUUAGCUUGUUUAAAUUCUGGCAGAUAUUCCUCUUACUCACAUUCUCAGCAAGCUGAUACAAAUAUUUGUUCUAUUUCGAGGGAAGUCCAAGCUCAGUCUGGCACCCAGAGCUGCUGGGCUCGGUGGAGCUGAGCCUGCCUGGGCCAAGAUUAAAUUUGGACAUCUACCUUCAAGAAAAAACAGAAUUAAAAAAUUCCCUGGGCCUUUUAGCACAGAUUAGAGCACAUCAAUGGCAAACGGCCCUCGUGUGUAUUCAGGUUUUUCUCACUUGCUAAUUUUUGCUUUAAUCUGAUUUGAAAUGGGCCUGGUUUCCCUGAGCUUGGAUUGCCAUUCCCGGCUGCAACUCUGGGGCUGGAAAAGCCUCCACACACAUGAAGCUCCACAUUCUUGAGAAUUAAAAGCUGUUUAAAGUGCAGUAAAUCAAACUGGGACGCAGUAAGCACGCUUGAUCUCUUUUAAAGCUGUGCAGGUUGUUGGGAUUUUUUGUUCGUGAUGUGCCCAGUUUAAUGUUUCUGAUUUGAAAAACAAACAGAGCAAAUCCUCCAGGACACUCAGGGUUGCUGCGCUCUGCUUCAUCCCCAGGAAGGAUCUUGCUCUACCAGGAUCUCCAUCUGCACCUGCCAAGCCUUUCCAGGUGGGAAAAGCAGGAGAAAUCAAAUGGAAAAAUGGAACCUGGGUGCCUCACUGGACACACAGCCAGGGAAAAGCUCAUUAUUUGGCACAGGGGCUCCCAGGGCACUCCCUCAGCUCCAGAGGCUGAGCCCUGGGCCCUGCCCUGUGCAAGGGCUGCCAGGUGAAAGCUGCAGCAAUUCCACGGUCAAGAUUUCUCUCACUCCCUGCAUUGACUGAAAGCUUCAGGGAGGAUUCUUCCAGGAAUUACUUUUUAAACUGCCUUGAAUCAAUAAAUACUGCAUGGACGAGCAGAAGGUGCGUGAAAAAUGGUCAAAACAGCAGCAGUGAGUAUCCAUCCAAAAUGACAUUGUUACUGUGUGGGUCACCUCUGUCCAACAGGCAGAAGAUCCAGGCAGAUUCCCCUCUGCAGCCUGGGCUGCUGACCCCACUCACUCCUGGGCUCCGUUUGUCAGCUCGGUGUCACUGCAGUGUCACCGUGAGGAAUGAACUGAGCACGGAAAUGCUGGGCAGGGACAGCCCCAGCCCUCCCUCCCUCCUCUGCCCGGGGCUGGCACUCACUGCUCUGGGCUCUGGGAUCAGAGGCUGCUGUCAACUCAGAGCUCAGAUCAACACACGGGACCCCUAAAACACAGAGACACCUGAAAAUCCCAAAUAAACCCCAAAUAAACCCCAAAUAAACCCACGGGCCUAAAA